GCAUCAUGUAAACUCAUACUAAUUACUAAUAUAUUUUUAAAUAUAAAAGUAUAAUCAAUUUAAGCAUAGAGCUGAGGCUUUAUAAGUACUGUGGUCUCUGUAAGAUGAUUUACUAAGAUGGACCUGUCUCAAUAUGUGCUAAAACCAAUAUAAUAGCAUUUAGUGUUUUAAUAUUAAUUUGAGUUGGUAUUGAGGAAAACAUUGCCAUUCCCAUUUCCCCCCAAUUUUCCCACUACUUGUUAAUAAACGCGCACAACGUUGACCGUAGGGAGAGGCCCUUUUUGACCCCGUACAUGCUUCAAAUAAUGGGGUUUUAAAAACGUCUUGUGAAUUAGAGUCGUUUGUUGAUGGCUGUGAAAAGCCACAGUGUUACACAGCAAACAUGCGUUAUUAGUGGUGAAUUCGGCCUAGUGGGUUCUACGUAUUAUUAAAGAAUUUACGGUAAAACAGUUGGCGGCUAUUACAAAACCAGUUCGUGUUCUACAGCAUUUAGGCUUUGUCAACGUGCGGGCGUUUUGGUGCUAAAUGAACGAACUAAUGAGGUUGUGUUUACACACGUGGUGGCGCCGGUGGACACGAGGGGGCGCGUCGUACUUAUCGUUAGUGAACUUGGAGAGAGACUACAAACGCUACGAACUACAGGAUCCACCCAGAGCUCUCUGUCAAUCUCCAGCCUUGUGAUGACAGCAGAUCCCGGUAGCGACAGACUGUACGACCUGAAAGAGCAGAGCAGAACAGGAGAGUGACAGUGACAACCGAUUGAACAGAUAAACAGACUCCUUCAUUUGUGGCUAAAUGGGAGCCUAACAGGAACCCACAGGACAGCCGGUUGUGCUGCCCAGGGCCGAAGCUACCGUGCUUCAUCCUGUCUACGUGAAAGGUUUGUUUACAUCAAACUCUGGCUGAAACUCCAGUGACUUGGAGGCGGGUGGCUGGGGAGAAGAUGCGUGCUGAAUGAGGCUAUCUGAAUGAUUUAGCAGACAAGGUGUGAGCCAUGAUGGUGUGAAGGUUAAAGCAGUAGUUCAGGUAGAACAUUGAUUGUUAUACUCCGUCUUGCUGAAAUAAAGAGGACAUGGUUCAAUAUGGUUUUGUCUCA
rnacentral:lncRNA from 1 species